rnacentral:rRNA from 1 species
AUUGAACGCUAGCGGGAUGCCUUACACAUGCAAGUCGAACGGAGUGGCGAACGGGUGAGUAAUGUAUAGGAAUGUGCCCAGUAGCGGGGGAUAACUACGCGAAACCGUAGCUAAUACCGCAUACUAUUGGAGCGGCCUAUUUCGGCUUAGCUAGUGGGGGGGGUAACGGCUCACCAAGUCGACGACCCGUAGCUGGUUUGAGAGUACGACCAGCCAGACUGGGACGGAGACACGGCCCAGACGCCUACGGGAGGCAGCAGGGGGGAAUGUUGGACAAUGGGGGAAAGCCUGAUCCAGCCAUCCCGCGUGUGCGAAGAAGGCCGUCGGGUUGUAAAGCACUUUUGGCUGGAAAGCGGUACCAGCAGAAUAAGCACCGGCUAACUCCGUGCCAGCAGCCGCGGUAAUAC